AUUGAACGCUGGCGGCAUGCCUUACACAUGCAAGUCGAACGGCAGCACGGGAGCAAUCCUGGUGGCGAGUGGCGAACGGGUGAGUAAUAUAUCGGAACGUGCCCAGUCGUGGGGAUAACGUAGCGAAAGCUACGCUAAUACCGCAUACGAUCUAUGGAUGAAAGCGGGGGAUCGCAAGACCUCGCGCGAUUGGAGCGGCCGAUAUCAGAUUAGGUAGUUGGUGAGGUAAAGGCUCACCAAGCCGACGAUCUGUAGCUGGUCUGAGAGGACGACCAGCCACACUGGGACUGAGACACGGCCCAGACUCCUACGGGAGGCAGCAGUGGGGAAUAUUGGACAAAUGGGCGCAAGCCUGAUCCAGCCAUGCCGCGUGUGUG
rnacentral:rRNA from 1 species